CACACCCACUUUACUCGCUCUAAUCUUCACCGCCCACUUUACUCGUUUUGGAGGCAACCCUCACCAUCCACUUUGAACAAAUCCAUCACAGUCCGUUCCAGUCUCGUACCCCAUUAGCACGGCGUCAGUGAGGUGGAGAUUCAGUGCCGACACACUCCUCUGGAAGGAGUCUGCAAAAAUGUGAGCUGAGCCCUUGACUAAGCUUGCUCUUUCUUUGGGCUUUCUUGGCUGGGUGUCUAGGACUUUGCCAAGACUAAUCUACGGGACUCGUGCAAGGCGCCUUUCACACGGAUCGGUUGAAAUCAAAUGGAAGGCAUGCCUCUCUGGAGCUUUUCUCUACCAAGAAAGAGAUGUCGGUAUUUACUGCAUCCUGGGGAAGAACCUUGCUUACUUGCUUACCGAGAACCAGCUCUGAAGCAAAUUCAGUAAAACGAUCAUGCCUCUCUGAGUCAUAAAGCCCAAAACUGCCCCCAACGAAUGAAUACAUCUACGGAGACUAACAAUGUAUGCUCUCUCUCAAAGCCUCAACCUAAUGGACCGAAAGUAGAAUCUGGAUCAAAUAGGAAAGAUAAUUUCAUAGUUCACGGUCUAUCGGCACAUUUUGCAGUGCUUGGUGAUAUCAGUCAGUAUAUGCACAUAACUGAGAUUUCCUGUCAUCUACUUCAUGGCGAGUUGGGGGCCAAUAUAUCGAAUGGACUUCAUAUUAUCAGGUAUCCAGGACCCUUACUCAAGGUCAAUUGGAAAUAAACAUUUAUGUUGUCGAGGAACUACAAAUCAAGCUGUUUAAACUUGAAAGCGGCUAUAAUGAGUAUCUUGAAGUGGCACAAAUGUAGGUUUGUGACCUUUAUUCAAGUGUUUUGAGAGGGGCUUGCCAGAAGCUAUAUGAUUCUCCUGUCAUUUCAUUUUCAUAUGUUAAGGUUAGUAAAAGUUGUUGCUUUCUAGUUGUUUUUCUUCCGUGUGAGCAUGAUUUAAGUUGCUUGUAUCUACCAAAUGUUGUAGACUUGUAGCAUGGCAAUAAAUUUCAAUUGAAUUUGAGUCGAAAUAAAGUUGACUUUUCGA